rnacentral:lncRNA from 10 species
GUAAACAGGUGGCAAAGCUUAUGUGCCAUUCUAUGGCUUUGAUUUUUUUUCACUCAGAGCUCUGGGGAGUCAUUAAAGCUUUCUGAGCUGGAGAAUGGCAUAAUCAGAUUUGAAUUUGUAAGAGCUCAUUCUGGCAGUGGUGUAGAAAGGGCUAGACUGUAGACAGGGAGAUUGGUUGGAAAGCAAUUUAAUGAAUUGAAGCCAUUGGGAAGGAAAAUUAAAGGAAAGGGUGAGGUUGCAGAAAUAUUCAGGCCUUUUUUAUUUUUAAUUUUUAUGGAUACAUAAUAGUUGUACAAUUUUAAAAUAUAAAAUAAAUAUAUUUCUAUAGCAAAAAAGGAGAAAUAUUUAGUUCUAAAGAUUAUUUUAUUUUUCCAAAGCGGAUUCUAAAAAGACUUGCUUCUUUACGGCCAUCACCUACAGGGAGGAAUUUUUUCUUCUCCUCAUCAAGUGGUCUACAGGCUUUGCAAUAAAUCUUGC